rnacentral:rRNA from 1 species
AUUGAACGCUGGCGGCAUGCUUUACACAUGCAAGUCGAACGGCAGCGCGGGCUUCGGCCUGGCGGCGAGUGGCGAACGGGUGAGUAAUACAUCGGAACGUGCCCAGUAGUGGGGGAUAGCUCGGCGAAAGCCGGAUUAAUACCGCAUACGACCUGAGGGUGAAAGCGGGGGAUCUUCGGACCUCGCGCUAUUGGAGCGGCCGAUGGCAGAUUAGCUAGUUGGUGGGGUAAAGGCCUACCAAGGCGACGAUCUGUAGCUGGUCUGAGAGGACGACCAGCCACACUGGGACUGAGACACGGCCCAGACUCCUACGGGAGGCAGCAGCGGGGAAUUUUGGACAAUGGGCGAAAGCCUGAUCCAGCAAUGCCGCGUGUGUGAUGAAGGCCUUCGGGUUGUAAAGCACUUUUGGCGGGAACGAAAAGGACUGUGCCAAUACCACGGUUCGAUGACGGUACCCGCAGAAUAAGCACCGGCUAACUACGUG